UUGAUGAAUGCACCGCUUUACCACCCGUUUGUCACGUGAACUCGCUCUGCAACAAUACCAUUGGCUCUUACAGCUGUACUUGCAACCCUGGAUACACUGGCAACGGCAAAACUUGCACAGACGUUAACGAAUGCACAGAAUCGACGCACAACUGUCGUAUUCAUUUCAAGUGCGUCAAUAUUCCGGGUUCUUUCGGGUGCGCAUACAACUACAGUAGAGAAAGCUGUCAGGCUGUACGUGAGGAUGGAGAGCAGAGACAGAUCCGUCUUAGUGACGGGCUAUACACGUUAUCAAGGAAUUCAACUUCAUUUUAUGUGAG